rnacentral:rRNA from 1 species
AGUGAACGCUGGCGGUAGGCCUAACACAUGCAAGUCGAACGGCAGCACAGUAAGAGCUUGCUCUUACGGGUGGCGAGUGGCGGACGGGUGAGGAAUACAUCGGAAUCUACUUUUUCGUGGGGGAUAACGUAGGGAAACUUACGCUAAUACCGCAUACGACCUACGGGUGAAAGCAGGGGAUCUUCGGACCUUGCGCGAUUGAAUGAGCCGAUGUCGGAUUAGCUAGUUGGCGGGGUAAAGGCCCACCAAGGCGACGAUCCGUAGCUGGUCUGAGAGGAUGAUCAGCCACACUGGAACUGAGACACGGUCCAGACUCCGACGGGAGGAAGCAGUGGGGAAUAUUGGACAAUGGGGGCAAGCCUGAUCCAGCUAUACCGCGUGAGUGAAGAAGGCCUUCGGGUUGUAAAGCCCUUUUGUUGGGAAAGAAAAGCAGCAGGUUAAUACCCCGCUGUUCUGACGGUACCCAAAGAAUAAGCACCGGCUAACUUCGUG